rnacentral:rRNA from 1 species
UGGGGAAUUUUGGACAAUGGGGGAAACCCUGAUCCAGCCAUCCCGCGUGUGCGAUGAAGGCCUUCGGGUUGUAAAGCACUUUUGGCAGGAAAGAAACGUCAUGGGUUAAUACCCCGUGAAACUGACGGUACCUGCAGAAUAAGCACCGGCUAACUACGUGCCAGCAGCCGCGGUAAUACGUAGGGUGCAAGCGUUAAUCGGAAUUACUGGGCGUAAAGCGUGCGCAGGCGGUUCGGAAAGAAAGAUGUGAAAUCCCAGAGCUCAACUUUGGAACUGCAUUUUUAACUACCGGGCUAGAGUGUGUCAGAGGGAGGUAGAAUUCCGCGUGUAGCAGUGAAAUGCGUAGAUAUGCGGAGGAACACCGAUGGCGAAGGCAGCCUCCUGGGAUAACACUGACGCUCAUGCACGAAAGCGUGGGGAGCAAACAGG